rnacentral:rRNA from 1 species
UCCUACGGGAGGCAGCAGUGAGGAAUAUUGGUCAAUGGGCGGAAGCCUGAACCAGCCAAGUCGCGUGAGGGAAGACGGUCCUAUGGAUUGUAAACCUCUUUUGCAGGGGAGCAAGGCACGGUACGCGUACCGUGAAGGAGAGUACCCUGAGAAAAAGCAUCGGCUAACUCCGUGCCAGCAGCCGCGGUAAUACGGAGGAUGCGAGCGUUAUCCGGAUUUAUUGGGUUUAAAGGGUGCGUAGGCGGGACGCCAAGUCAGCGGUAAAAUGUCGGGGCUCAACCCCGUUGUGCCGUUGAAACUGGCGUUCUUGAGUGGGCGAGAAGUAUGCGGAAUGCGUGGUGUAGCGGUGAAAUGCAUAGAUAUCACGCAGAACUCCGAUUGCGAAGGCAGCAUACCGGCGCCCAACUGACGCUGAAGCACGAAAGCGUGGGUAUCGAACAGGAUUAGAUACCCUGGUAGUCCACGCAGUAAACGAUGAAUACUAGCUGUCCGGGGCGAAUGAGCCCUGGGUGGCACAGCGAAAGCGUUAAGUAUUCCACCUGGGGAGUACGCCGGCAACGGUGAAACUCAAAGGAAUUGACGGGGGCCCGCACAAGCGGAGGAACAUGUGGUUUAAUUCGAUGAUACGCGAGGAACCUUACCCGGGCUCAAACGACACAGGAACGUACCUGAAAGGGUUCGGCUCUACGGAGCCUGUGUCGAGGUGCUGCAUGGUUGUCGUCAGCUCGUGCCGUGAGGUGUCGGCUUAAGUGCCAUAACGAGCGCAACCCUUGUUGUCAGUUACUAACAGGUUAUGCUGAGGACUCUGACAAGACUGCCAUCGUAAGAUGUGAGGAAGGUGGGGAUGACGUCAAAUCAGCACGGCCCUUACGUCCGGGGCUACACACGUGUUACAAUGGGGGGUACAGAGGGCCGCUACCACGCGAGUGGAUGCCAAUCCCAAAAACCUCUCUCAGUUCGGACUGGAGUCUGCAACCCGACUCCACGAAGCUGGAUUCGCUAGUAAUCGCGCAUCAGCCACGGCGCGGUGAAUACGUUCCCGGGCCUUGUACACACCGCCCGUCAAGCCAUGGGAGCCGGGGGUACCUGAAGUGCGUAACCGCGAGGAGCGCCCUAGGGUAAAACUGGUGACUGGGGCUAAGUCGUAACAAGGUAGCCGUACCGGAAGGUGCGGCUG